CCUACGGGUGACAGCAGUGAGGAAUAUUGGUCAAUGGACGAGAGUCUGAUCCAGCCAAGUAGCGUGAAGGAUGACUGCCCUAUGGGUUGUAAACUUCUUUUAUAUGGGAAUAAAAUGUUCCACGUGUGGGACUUUGUAUGUACCAUAUGAAUUAGGAUCGGCUAACUUCGUGCCAGCCGCCGCGGUAAUACGGAGGGUCCGAGCGUUAUCCGGAUUUAUUGGGUUUAAAGGGAGCGUAGGUGGAUUGUUAAGUCAGUUGUGAAAGUUUGCGGCUCAACCGUAAAAUUGCAGUUGAAACUGGCAGUCUUGAGUGCAGUAGAGGUGGGCGGAACUCGAGGUGUAGCGGUGAAAUGCUUAGAUAUCACGAAGAACUCCGAUGGCGAAGGCAGCUCACUGGACUGCAACUGACACUGAGGCUCGAAAGUGUGGGUAUCAAACAGGAUUAGAUACCCCAGUAGUC
rnacentral:rRNA from 1 species